rnacentral:rRNA from 1 species
CCUACGGGAGGCAGCAGUGGGGAAUAUUGCACAAUGGGCGAAAGCCUGAUGCAGCAACGCCGCGUGAGCGAUGAAGGCCUUCGGGUCGUAAAGCUCUGUCCUCAAGGAAGAUAAUGACGGUACUUGAGGAGGAAGCCCCGGCUAACUACGUGCCAGCAGCCGCGGUAAUAGGUGGGGGGUAAGGGUAUCCGGGAUUACUGGGGGUAAAGGGGGCGUAGGUGGUUUCUUUAGUCAGAGGUGAAAGGCCGCGGCUCAACCGGAGUAAGCCUUUGAAACUGGGGAACUUGAGUGCAGGAGAGGAGAGUGGAAUUCCUGGUGUAGCGGUGAAAUGCGUAGAUAUUAGGAGGAACACCAGUUGCGAAGGCGGCUCUCUGGACUGUAACUGACACUGAGGCACGAAAGCGUGGGGAGCAAACAGGAUUAGAUACCCCAGUAGUC